GCAACCCUUGGCCAAGUUGGUAAGGCGUCGCACUCGUAGAACCGUCUGCUAUGCGAAGAUCAGCUGUUCGACUCAGCUAGUGGGCA